rnacentral:lncRNA from 1 species
AGAGAUGUCAGGUGAGCUGCACUGUACAUAGAGAAGAGUCAGUUCUGUGUGGUUCUAAGUGAAAUCAAUCACGGCUCAGUUCAGCAUUCACGGUUCACCGCGAACCACUGCCAAGUGGUUUUCAGGGGACCCAACUUCACUGCAGAAAGGAGCUGUUAUUUAAAGUGGGGGCAUUAAGGCAGAAGGAGAAAAAGAAGGAAACCUCUCCUCAGGCUGCUGUUGUUCUCCUUAACCUGCCCUCAGGAGAUCACCCAGUCCCUUCCCAGAGGCGGUUUGAUGAAAAGGCAAGAAAAUAUGAGUGAAGUCACAAAUGUCACCAAGGAAAGGAAGAACAGAAAAAUAACUUGAAUAUUCAAGAUGGGCAGCCUAGUUCAACGACACAUCAAGCCUUGUGAAAAGGUGACUCCGAGACAUGGAGGCACAUGCCUGUAGCCUCACCACACAGGCAGGUGGUGGUGAAUUCUACACUAACCUUGGCUACACAGUGACACACUGCCCCAAAACAGAAACAAAAAGCAAAAAGUUUCUCAGUGAACCUCAGAAAAGGUUCCUAAGGUAACAAAAGAAUCAAAAUAUGCCCUAGCUCACCCCAAAUGCCAAGAGCCUUGCUAUGUUUAGUAAGCACCUCCAUAAAAUGCUGUUUUCCCGGAAGAGAGCUGAGGCCAGAGAAGUUGCCAAGUGUCAAUCCUACCACAUCACGUUCCUACGUCUGCCCUGUCCUCCACUCGGCACCAGCGUUAACAAAGUGCAGCCAAUAAUUUCAUGACA